UCUUUAAAGUGGACUUCAGUUAAGAUGGAGGAGAAGCAAAUGCUGCUCAUGAUGCUCAUCACAGUUUCAGGUGGAUUUGCAGAUAAAAUUGGACCAAAAGAUGGAAAUACUAAUGUAAUAAAAGAAGAAGGAGAGUCUGUGACACUGAGCUGCACAUAUGAAACUAACAGCAAUGAUAUUUGGCUUUACUGGUACAGACAGUAUCCAAACAGAGAACCAGAAUAUUUACUGCUCAAAGGUGCUCGAUCACGGAGCAGUGAGGAAGAUAUACCAGACGGUUUUCAGUCGAAAACAUCCCAAUCAUCCACUGAACUCACUAUUAACAGUGUGACUCUGUCAGAUUCAGCUCUCUAUUAUUGUGCUCUGUGGAGCCCAGUGAUACAAAAUGCCUGAGAAGCUUUACAAAAACUCAUACAAAAUUAAUGCUUUGAAGUGUCUUUAAUCAAUCUGUAUCAUGUUAUUGUAAACCACAAACAGUGAAUGUGGUGACAGCUGUGAAUUUGGGAGGUUACAUAAGGGCAUGUGAAUAAAAUUCAGCAUGCAUCUC